GUUCAUGUAAAAGACGGCUUUUGCUGUCACUUUUGGAUGGGCCUGCGGCGUAUUAACUUGUUGGUGGGGUAACGGCCUACCAAGGUGAUGAUACGUAGCCGAACUGAGAGGUUGAUCGGCCACAUUGGGACUGAGACACGGCCCAAACUCCUACGGGAGGCAGCAGUAGGGAAUCUUCCACAAUGGACGAAAGUCUGAUGGAGCAACGCCGCGUGAAUGAAGAAGGCCUUCGGGUCGUAAAAUUCUGUUGUCAGAGAAGAACGUGCGUGAGAGUAACUGUUCACGUAUUGACGGUAUCUGACCAGAAAGCCACGGCUAACUACGUGCCAGCAGCCGCGGUAAUACGUAGGUGGCAAGCGUUGUCCGGAUUUAUUGGGCGUAAAGGGAACG
rnacentral:rRNA from 1 species